rnacentral:tRNA from 1 species
UCCCUGAUAGCUCAGUUGGUUAGAGCGAAUGACUGUUAAUCAUUAGGUCCCUGGUUCGAGUCCAGGUCGGGGAG